UACGAAGGGGGCGAGCGUUGUUCGGAUUUACUGGGCGUAAAGGGCGCGCAGGCGGUCUUGCAAGUCAGGCGUGAAAGCCCCGGGCUUAACCUGGGAAUUGCGCUUGAUACUCUGAGACUGGAGUACGGGAGAGGAGAGUGGAGUUCCCAGUGUAGAGGUGAAAUUCGUAGAUAUUGGGAAGAACACCAGUGGCGAAGGCGGCUCUCUGGACCGUAGCUGACGCUGAGGCGCGAAAGCGUGGGGAGCGAACAGG
rnacentral:rRNA from 1 species